UUUGAUCCUGGCUCAGGACGAACGCUGGCGGCGUGCUUAACACAUGCAAGUCGAACGAUGAUGCCCAGCUUGCUGGGUGGAUUAGUGGCGAACGGGUGAGUAACACGUGAGUAACCUGCCCCUGACUCUGGGAUAAGCGUUGGAAACGGCGUCUAAUACUGGAUAUGAUCACUGGCCGCAUGGUCUGGUGGUGGAAAGAUUUUUUGGUUGGGGAUGGACUCGCGGCCUAUCAGCUUGUUGGUGAGGUAAUGGCUCACCAAGGCGACGACGGGUAGCCGGCCUGAGAGGGUGACCGGCCACACUGGGACUGAGACACGGCCCAGACUCCUACGGGAGGCAGCAGUGGGGAAUAUUGCACAAUGGGCGAAAGCCUGAUGCAGCAACGCCGCGUGAGGGAUGACGGCCUUCGGGUUGUAAACCUCUUUUAGUAGGGAAGAAGCGAAAGUGACGGUACCUGCAGAAAAAGCACCGGCUAACUACGUGCCAGCAGCCGCGGUAAUACGUAGGGUGCAAGCGUUGUCCGGAAUUAUUGGGCGUAAAGAGCUCGUAGGCGGUUUGUCGCGUCUGCUGUGAAAUCCCGAGGCUCAACCUCGGGCUUGCAGUGGGUACGGGCAGACUAGAGUGCGGUAGGGGAGAUUGGAAUUCCUGGUGUAGCGGUGGAAUGCGCAGAUAUCAGGAGGAACACCGAUGGCGAAGGCAGAUNUCUGGGCCGUA
rnacentral:rRNA from 1 species